rnacentral:rRNA from 1 species
UACGUAGGCAGCAAGCGUUGUUCGGAGUUACUGGGCGUAAAGGGUGUGUAGGCGGUUGUUUAAGUUUGGUGUGAAAUCUCCCCGGCUCAACCCGGGAGGGUGCGCCGAAUACUGAAUGACUAGAGUGCAGAAGGGGCAACUGGAAUUCUCGGUGUAGCGGUGAAAUGCGUAGAUAUCGAGAGGAACACCUGCGGCGAAGGCGGGUUGCUGGGCUGACACUGACGCUGAAGCGCGAAAGCUAGGGGAGCGAACGGG